CCUUUACUGACGCUAAAGCUCGAAGGUGCGGGUAUCGAACAGGAUUAGAUACCCUGGUAGUCCGCACGGUAAACGAUGGAUGCCCGCUGUUUGCGAUAUACUGUGAGCGGCCAAGAGAAAUCGUUAAGCAUCCCACCUGGGGAGUACGCCGGCAACGGUGAAACUCAAAGGAAUUGACGGGGGCCCGCACAAGCGGAGGAACAUGUGGUUUAAUUCGAUGAUACGCGAGGAACCUUACCCGGGCUUGAACUGCAGGAGAACGAUACAGAGAUGUUGAGGCCCUUCGGGGCUCCUGUGGAGGUGCUGCAUGGUUGUCGUCAGCUCGUGCCGUGAGGUGUCGGCUUAAGUGCCAUAACGAGCGCAACCCUUUUCAUUAGUUGCCAUCAGGUAAUGCUGGGCACUCUGGUGAUACUGCCACCGUAAGGUGUGAGGAAGGUGGGGAUGACGUCAAAUCAGCACGGCCCUUACGUCCGGGGCUACACACGUGUUACAAUGGGGGGUACAGAAGGCGGGAUCAAUGCAAAUUGGUUCAAAUCUUAAAAGCCCUCCUCAGUUCGGAUUGGGGUCUGCAACCCGACCCCAUGAAGCUGGAUCGCUAGU
rnacentral:rRNA from 1 species